rnacentral:lncRNA from 1 species
UUUGGCAGAGUAACAGCCAGAAAAUCCCUAAAGAAACAAACAGAACCUCGCCCAAGAAAUUAAUAAAAAUUAAAAAAAGAAAAUUAAACAGAACAACAGUAUAUAACUAAUUAGAGAACCCAAAAAAAAUUUAUGGGGAGAGAGGAGAAGAGAAAAGGAAGAGGUUAGAGAAGAAGAGAAGGGCUUGAUUUAUAGAAGGAAAAUGAGGCUAUGAAGUGAGAGAAAAUAAUAAAAUAUAAU